UUGGCCUCUCGCCAUGGGUGGAGCUCAGAUGGGGACAAUGCUGCCAUGGGAGAGGAGCUUGGGUGUCCUCCAUGGCUGUUCAGAUCUCAGGCGCAGCAGGGGUUUAUUUUAGGCGCUGAAACAUGGAGGAGCAGAGGAAGGAAAGGGGGAGAUUGCAGGGGGGCGCCAUGGAGAAGCUUCUGCGCGGCGUCCAUUGCAGGGGAGGUGGAGCUCGUAGGGAGGGGCGCCGUGCAGGAGAGGGGUGCAGGGAACUCAGACUGGAGCUGGACGGUGUCAAGUUCCCUGCCAUGGGGGCGCUGCUUGGGCGCCAUGGCUGCUGGCCGAGCAGAGGCGUCGGGGCCUGGGCGUCUGCUGCUUGCUGUGUUUGCAAAAGAAGGUGUCGUGGGGAGCUUCUGUAGGGGAGUUCGGCUAGGGGCAAGCAGGGAGGAAGAUGAACAGGCGCUGGCUGCUGCUGCGCGAGGAAGAAGGAGCAAGGGGGCGCCGCGCCAUGGCUGCUGGGAGCAGCUGGAAAAAAAAUUCUGGGCGCCAUGA
rnacentral:misc_RNA from 1 species